CGCGCCUGCCUUGCUGCCAACUUAGCCAAAGUGGCUGAGGGGCCUCCGCCCAGCUCGGGGGAGAGCGGCGCCGGCGGAAGGGCGGGGCGAGAGCCCUGGACAUCAGCUCCUGGGACAGUUUCUCAAAGAAGGACCAAAGUUUUGUCAAGAACACCCAGAUGAAGACCUUCCUAGACCUGUAAACUGGGAUUACCAAGUUCUUGACUUCACAAGGAAGUUUCAACCAAUUCUGAUGGAACAACCAGAGAGGCCCAAAUGACUGCCACCCAUGAGCCAAGGACCUGAUCUCUUUCCUUUAGACCUAAUACUCUACCGGAGAUCCACAACCUUCCUAAUCCCCACCCCCUCCUCGUCCCGCCCCCGCGCCUCAAAAACUAUGGAGAAAAAGAAGGUGUGCCCAAGGCUGGACCGAAGUCAUCCUGCCCCUUCUUCAAAAGAGAGACACCUCCCAAGGCCAACGCCCUCCGGAGGGGCCCAGGUGCUCCUCCCUUCUGGCAUCUAUUCCGUCUGGCAUCUAUUCCGUCUGGCAUCUAUUCCUCUGCAAAGGAUCAGAAAGGAAGCCGCUGGCUCAAUGGAUUCUGGAUUUCGGGUAGACCUGACUGCUUUGGGGCAUCCUCAAUCGGGCGGUGAAGCCUCUGGGGGCAGAGGAGCGUCGUGGGAGAGGAGCGUCGUGGGAGAAAGACAAGCUAGGCUGCUGCUUCCCUACCCAUGCCAACUUCCCGGGUCUCGUCUUGAAACAAGAGCAGAGGCCUGAGACCCGGGCGCCAUUGCUGGCCAGGCUCCCCUCCCCCACACUCCUUUCUUUGCUUCUCGAAGACCCGGGAGGGAGGAGGCGGCGAGCGCCUCGGUGGAUAGAGCUGCUAUUGUGACCUUCCCGGGCUAAGCGGGGAACCCAGCGGAGUGUGUACUGCCCGCGGUGGCGGGGGAGGAGGUGACUGUGUGCAAGCCUCGAGUGCAGAGGGGGUGGCACCCGGGAAUAAAUAAAGGCUUGCAACCUCGGGCACUUGGACCCUUCGGAGAGCGUUUGGUUGUGUUUAGACUUGGGUGCUUCCUAACACUAAUUGCAGGCUCAAGAGGAGCGGAAUUUAUGGCGAAGGCCAAGGCGGCUUGUUUAUAAUUUAUGAAGUUUUAAAUGGUUGUGCCGCGGGCCCAGCUCUCUCCGGCGGGCGGCCGCGUGGGAGUGUGCCCUCCCAGAACUCGCCGCCGCCCCCACCCACGCUAGGAGUGAGUGUGCCUGUCACGUGACUCGCGUUGGUGGCAGGAAAGAACCAAGCAAUUCUCUGAAGUCUCCAGAACUUCAGAAGGUAGGCGAAGGCGGCAGGUUUGGUCGAAGCGACCCCUCCCCCUUCUUCCAACAUCCUCCCUCCACCGCCGGGCCUGUGAGGUUGCGGCUGCCUAGACGGUGGGAACCCCCAACCUGACACUUCCUUAGAGCCUAUGUGUGAGAGGAAGCUGAUGUCAGCCGGGCUAGACACUGUUUAAAGUAAUCCAUGAAACCCUAAGCCACAGAUGACGCUUGGGGUAUUGCAGACACCCGCAGACUCAGCAGAUACUCCUGUGGUAACACACCGCGCUGGGAAACGCCUGGAGCCAUGAUGCAUUAUGUAUUUUUAUUAUUAUUUAUGGUAUGAAGAGGAGAUGAGAGAAACCGGGCUGAAUCUAAACAGCCUGACAAUUCAUCUAUUUAAUAUUUAGCCAGUUAAGAAAGGUGGCUGUGGUUCCCUACGAGGCAGCUAGCAUUUCUUUGAUUUCCGUAAUAGCUUAAAAAAUAAUUUCUUACAAUUAUAAAUUCUGUCUAGGAAUGCAAAUUUCAGAGAAAACAAUGUUAAGCCUUGAGAGUGGGUAAAAUAUGCCUUCGAUUGAAGUCAUUUAUUCUGUUGAUACAAUUCUACAACAUAUAUACUUUAAACUUGCUCAGAUAGAGUGAAAUUUAGCAAAAGGAUAACCCCUCCCACCCCCAGCCUAACAUGCCAUUUUUAAAACAGCACAAAGGAACAAGGAAACUAAAUAUUCUUUUGAGCCAUCAUUACUGAGCGAAACACAAACAUCCAAAUAGAAAACGAUUGCUGUUGCACCAGAAGAGUAGAAGUUAUCUCCACACAAUGGGAAUUUCACCUCGUGUCACCAGGCUGGUAGUGGGAGUUGCAUAUUUGCCAAACCAACUAGAGAUGCGUGGGUGGACUUUGCUGAAAUACAAAAUAAUUGAACCUUGUCUGAAGGCCUUUUUCCAAGUGCUCCCUUCUAUAGAAGUGGGUGUAAGUGCUCGACCCUUCCUAGAGCCACACUAAUAAUAUUUACAAAACGAUUAUAAAUUCUGUAGACUAUUCGCCCAUUUUGCACAAAGAAACAGGAGUAAGCAAGGUGUUUAUACGUGUUGUGUUCUAUUAAUGAACCUUUCGUUAUUUUACAUUGUGAAGAAUGUUUGUUUUCUUUAAAAGUGAACUGCUGACCACU